rnacentral:misc_RNA from 1 species
CCGAGUGAGGGCUCCCGGGCCCGACCUCCCACCCUUUGAUUUAACCAACUUUUGUUGCCUCGGGGGCGACCCGGUCGCGUCGGAUUCUCGACGUCGGCGUCGGGGCCCCCGACGGACCCCUUCAAACGCUGCAUCUUUGCGUCGGGUUGAUCAGAAAAUCAAUCA